rnacentral:rRNA from 1 species
ACAGAGGGGACGAGCGUUGUUCGGAAUGACUGGGCGUAAAGGGUGCGUAGGCGGUUAUUUAAGUAAGGCGUUAAAGCCCUGGGCUCAACCCGGGAACUGCGUUUUAUACUGAGUAACUUGAGUGUGAUAGAGGAAAGUGGAAUUCCUAGUGUAGAGGUGAAAUUCGUAGAUAUUAGGAGGAACACCAGAGGCGAAGGCGGCUUUCUGGGUCAUUACUGACGCUGAGGCACGAAAGCGUGGGGAGCAAACAG